CCUGUGUCUUGUGGCUGUGUGCUCCCUAAUCAUUAAUAUCUCGUUGACGUUUCAGGAAAUGUCCAGAAGGCCCUUGUCACCCCGCCUGGUUGCACGGGAGUUGUCCCAUGCCUCAGUGUCAGGUUCUACCGCUCUCAGAAGAAAGGAACUAGCCUGUCUGCAACCAUCUGGCGCCGGAGCCUUCUCUCCCUCUGAACUGCCACACCCCUCCCACCCCGCUCAGCCGCCCUCCUUUCUCCCCGAGUAUUUCUAUGUAUAAUUCUUGUCUAUCUGAUGGGACAUGGACCAUAUGUUACAGUUCUUUUUAUGAUUCUGUGUCGAAUAAAUAAACUGAUUGAAGCCUGA